GAUGAACGCUAGCGGCAGGCUUAACACAUGCAAGUCGAGGGGUAGGGCAGCAAUGCCUGAGACCGGCGCACGGGUGCGUAACGCGUAUGCAACCUACCUUUUACAGGGGGAUAGCCCAGAGAAAUUUGGAUUAAUACCCCCUGGUAUAAUUUGAUGGCAUCAUUAGAUUAUUAAAGUUCCAACGGUAAAAGAUGGGCAUGCGUCCUAUUAGCUAGAUGGUAAGGUAACGGCUUACCAUGGGUACGAUAGGUAGGGGUCCUGAGAGGGAGAUCCCCCGCACUGGUACUGAGACACGGACCAGACUCCUACGGGAGGCAGCAGUGAGGAAUAUUGGACAAUGGGCGCAAGCCUGAUCCAGCCAUGCCGCGUGCAGGAAGAAGCAUCUAUGGUGUGUAAACUGCUUUUGUACGGGAAGAAACACCCCCUCGUGAGGGGGCUUGACGGUACCGUAAGAAUAAGGAUCGGCUAACUCCGUGCCAGCCGCCGCUGUAAGAC
rnacentral:rRNA from 1 species